UUUACGAGAAGUAGAACAAAAGUGAAAAGUAACGAAUAAGCGAUUAUUCUGUGGAAUCUUUUCUGUGUUUGGGUUUUGAACACUGGCAAAGACGGUUAUAUACUAAUUUUGGAGCAACGUUCUCUUCUUUUGUGUUCUUAUGUGAAAUAAUAAAGUGAGAAUUAUGGAUGCAGAAAUUUAAAUUUAAAAAAUGGAAUUAAAUUUAGUUGUAAAGUCUUUUUCUGAUAAAUGUUAAUGUGAAGAGAUAAUUGUAAAUGAAGGAAUUUAGGUAAAUAUAGUUUUGAUGGAUGGAAUUUAGGUGAGAAUAGAUGAAAGAAUUUAGGUGAUUUUUCAAUUUAAUUUCUCAAUCAGUAUCUCACCGACGGCUACCCUUUCGUUC
rnacentral:lncRNA from 1 species